AGGCCCCACCUCCUAAUACCAUCACACUGGGGCUUAGCACCUCAACAUAUCAAUUUUGGGGAAAUACAAUUCAGUUCACAGUGCAUAGAUAGAUAUUAAUUGAUAUUAUCAAAAGAAACCAUGGGCAGAUAAACCCAAAACCAAACUGUUUUAAUGGUUAUCUAUUGGGAAGAAAAAGAAACAGGGUGAACGGGAAGUUACAGAAGCAAGAUUUCUGUGACUGUAACUGGAUAAAUAGAGAGUUUGGGAGGACGAUAAGUGUUUUAUGUGAUUUUUAAAAAUUAAAGUAAACUGAAAUGAAUGAGUCUUCCUGCAUAUAAAGUGUGUGGCAUAACCACAUAAAGCAAACAAUUACUUAAAGUGGCUUUAAAACGCAGCAUUUUGACUAUACAUCCCAAGUGAGAGAUAUGCUAUGGACAAUAAAAAAAAGGAAAAGAAAAAAGGAAAGAAAUCAUAAAUGGCAUUCAGUAGCCAUAUAUUAGUAUUGACAUUUUUAUUAAAUUACUAUGUUUCCAUCAUUAGGAACCAUAAUUUUCAGUAUAAAAAUGACAUAGCAUAAAAUCAAGGAAGUUUAAGUAAAAAUCUUGUAAUCUUAAAAGUGAAUUGGAAAUUGCAGUAUGAACUCACAUUGUGUUUUACUCUUUAAAAAAUACAUAUUUUCUAGUUCUGUCCACUGAAAAGACCCAGAAGCAAUGAAAACCCAGUAACAAUGAGCACACUUCCACGGCUGAACUCUCUAGAUAACAUUUACCAAUGAAAUUGGCUGAUUCUAAGUCUAGGGCAAAAAAUGUACAAAAGGAGACUGGAUACAAGUCUCUUAUUGUACCAGAAAGUGAAGGAGAAAUCAAAGACUAAUGAGGUCACGUUAAAGUGAUACAGGACGACACAGGGCCUGCCUGCAGCAGCUGGUCAAUAAUGAAGGGAUUAAUCCAUGACUGCAAGACUCGUGGGAAGGAGGGAGUGGGGACUGCAGGGAGGGUCCUAGUAAAAGCAGGGUGGGCCUCGAUGAGCACAGCAUGGACAGUGCGAUUUAAAUCCCAUCGCUUGUGGGCAGGAGGAGUGAGGAUGCCAGAACCUAGUUAUCCCCCACCAUCCCACGCUCUCCCAGGAGGCGGCGGCAGGAAGUGCAGUCUACAGUAAGGGAAAGCCGCCGGAGCUGGAGACAGGCUGGAAAGAGCAGGUAACAGCCCACAAGGAGCGGGGGCCCUGGCUGUCAGACUCAACUUGCAGGACCAUCAAGUGCAGGUGUGGUUCAAGAACCGGGGCCGCUUGCUCUGCGGUAGCAACGGCACAUAACCGCAGCGAUGACCAGGGCAGCCAAGCCAGCAGCCGGGACCCCGGGAUGCUCUUGGCACAUGAUCCGACUCCCCUGCCUUUGCGGGUCCUGUACUCCCGCGAGGUCCAGGAUUGUGCAGCCCCUCCCCAACCGGCCGUUGGGAAUCUUCGCAGCAGCAGAACCCGCUGCCUCCAGGUCCGACCAGACCUGCAUAGGUAGAGAGUCCCCGCACAGGGCGGCCAGCAGAGCUACCCAGCUGCCCCAGGGCCUCGGGACCCCUGGGCCUGGGACCCAGGCCAGACCCUGACUCAUUCGGUGAUCUCACAGGACUCCUCCCACCCCAAGACCCUUUCAGGGACCCUGCCUCGAACUCCACGACAUGGGAGGCAGGGGCGGGCCUUUUGCAGGGGAAGGACUCCCCCAGCAGGACGUUUACUGAAUCUGGAGGGAGUCGCCCUGCAGAUAUCCCGCGGAAGCCGGAGGAGACCCAGGUGCGCCCCACCGGCUAGCUGCGCCUGCGGGUGCCCAAAUUGGUGUCCGGGCCAUCCUCACCGCAGUGACUCCUCCGCAGCGCCAACGCACUCCAUUUUCCUUCCACCCUGCCGGUGGGGGGCGUUUGCUUGUUCUCACUCUGCAGCCGCAGCCAGUGGCGCCGCUACCAAGGUCCCCGCCUCGCCAUCCGGGUCCUGCCUGAGCAUCCUUAUUGGUGCUCAGGGCUAGGCGUGCAUUGCUGCUAGGGGCGCGGAAAGGUUUAUCGUGGGUGGAUGCUGCCCGGGGCUUGAGUGGUUUUUAGAGGUCUUGAGUGGCUCACUCUCCAAUCAGCGCUUUCUAGAGACAGCGUGGUCAGCGUACUUGCUUACUUUCAGGAUUGCGAGACGUCUUUAACCCUUGCUGAUCGGCUGACGCUGCAGCUUCCUGUGGCUUCCUGCUCAUUUCCCGCAAGAUAGCACUGAUAGGCAAUUCCAUUUUGGAAAAUUUAUCCUGAGGAAAUAAAUAAAGAUGUAAACAGAGAAUAACUUACAGAUGUGACGUUUGUGAUCGUUAAAACUGGAAACAGCGCAAGAGUGGACGAUAGGGGAUGAGAGAGCCACACAGCGCAUAGAAGAUGAUCAGUCUGAAGAGAGGGUUUUCAGACAUGCAAUUAACUGCUAUUCACUGUACUUCAUUUUAACUGCAAACUAGCAGGGGAGUCAUGAUUCUACCUUUUUGGAAAUGACCCUCUAGCAGUUUUAUUGGUCCUAUGAGAUACACAGUAGAUUCACCAGCCAGAGCCAGAUGAGCUGCACAGUUGCCAAAGGGAACUUCAGAUGCCACCAGAGCCUCAGCUCUGUCCUCCCUCACCUCCCAAGAAAGCCUGGAUCUUUGAGUUGUGUUGAUGGGCAUAUUCGUGUUUGCCACUUGAAGGAGUAAGAGGCCCGCGUGGAUCUGGAGGCAAGUGGCUGUGCCCUCCUGCAAUCUGCUCACCUGCAGAAAUGCUCGCGUAGGGCAGCUCUCAAUUUUCUGCCACCUCCUCAGCUUUUUCUGUGAAACAGAAGUUGGUUACUUUGGAUGAAAAUUAUCUUUCAUAUAGGUGGUUGGUACACGAAGCAAUAGUGACAAAUAAAACUCUGUGUGCGUGCUUCUGUUUUGUCAUGCAAUGAAAAGUAGUUUUGUUCCAGAAUAUGAAUGAACACAGUGAAUGAAGGUCUAAAGAAGUGAAUGUUAUUUGCCUUGGUUUAUAAUACCUGAGUCUGAAAAGAGACAUGAAGUAACUUAGAUCUUAGCAAAGUUUCCUCACUUUUGAUGGGCUUGCCGCCUUGGCUUACUGGUCACCGCCUUCAUCUACAGCAGGGGUCCCCAAUCCCCGGGCUAUGGUCCAGCAACAGUCCAUGGCCUGUUAGGAACCGGGCCACAUAGCAGGAGAUAAGCGGUGGUUACAGCUGCUCCCCAUCACUCACAGUACUGCCUGAGCUCUGCCUUCUGUCACGGUGGCAUGAGAUUCUCACAGGAGUAUGAACCCCUAUUGUAAACUGUGCAUGCAAGGCAUCUAGGUUGUAUGCUCCUUAUGAGAAUCUAAUGCCUGACAAUCUGUCACUCUCUCCCAUCACCCCCAGAUGGGACCAUCUAGUUGCAGGAAAAUAAGCUCAGGCCUCCACUGAUUCUAUAUUAUUGUGAGUUGUAUAAUUAUUUCAUUAUAUAUUACAAUGUAAUAAUAAUAGAAAUAAAGUGUACAAUAAAUGUAAUGUGCUUGAAUCAUCCAGAAACCAUCCCCCCAUCCCAGUCCGUGGAAAAAAUGUCUUCCAUGAAACCGGUUCCGGGCGCCAGAAAGGCUGGGGACCACUGACCUGCAGCACAAAGGCUAUUCUUUACCUUCCUUGUGGUCUGCCUGACAGCAAAAGUGUGUGUCUUGCCAGAAAAAUUUCUGUGCCUUAUGCUGACUUCAUUCAGUCCUUGAGUAUUUAAACAAAACAAUACAAAAACUCACUUGUGAAAGAGAUGAUUCUUUAAACUCAUGUCACCUUCUGUUUACUUUUACAUUUGUUUGCAUUAUUAAAAGAGUAAGCAAGAAUUAUUUCUUCAGCACCCAUGAUAUGCUCUGAGUCAAGUGCCUAAAUCUUCUCUGACAACUCUUUUGAUUUUUCCUUCUAGAGAUCAGAUCCUAAAUAUAGAAAGAGUAAAAGAAAACUUUUUAUCUUGAACUAAAACAUUCUUUGAAACUUCCCAGAGGGCCCCUGGAAAUUCACGAGAUUUGUACUUUCACCCUAUGAAGCAAGAGCAAGAGAGGCCAGAAGUAAUUAUGUUUAUUAUUCUUUAAUCAGCAUCUGAAGAGAUGCUCAGCCUCCCUAGGUUAAGUUUGUAUCAGUAAACUCAUUAUAAAUAGUUCAGACACUGCACACUUUGUAGGAAGGCCCUGAAGCUUUGCCAGUGCCCUCGUCGCCGUCCAUUGUAUGCUUUACCUUUAGUGAGACACUGAUCAAAAUGCUUAUGAAAUAGUUAUUUCCCAGUAGAGAAUCUUACUUUCCUGCGGUUGCUGUAAUAAAUUAACCAACAGUCAACUACCAGUAGUUUUGUAUUUACUCUGAUGUGCACCUGGGACUCUGCUGUAAGCCACUGGUGAGCGGCUGUGCCUUCCACAAGGGGCAGCCUCAGAGGCUCAAGAGGACAUGCAGGGGCUCUAAGCUGAGGAUGCUACAGUGAAUCACCUCGCGGGGACACGCUCCUGAGCGGACCUCACUUAGGCCACCUUCAGAUCAUCCAUCAGACGGAGUCAUGACUUCUAGGCCUCUAAGCUCAGAGCAGAGGCUCCCUAAAAGUUCUCUCUUGACUGGAUCCAGAGAACAGGAAUUAUUACUUAGGAUUGAAUGAGGCAAUUUUGUCUUGGUUAUUUUUUGGAAUAUUGCUGAUGUUGCUUUGAUGUUCUUUCAUUUCUAGAUCUGUGAGGAAGCUCCUUCUCUUCCUUUUUAACCUACAAUUUAAUAGACUUUGCUUUUGUCAAUUGAAAAGAAACAUUUGUAAAAUAGUUUCUUAUUUUCACUAACCCUCCAGAACUCAGAAAAUGACUUAGUCUUAAGUUUUCAUGGAAAUAUAGUUAUUUUCAUAAAUUCAAUGGAGAACUUUUCUUCUUUUGCUGGGAUAAAACAGCAUUAAGCAAUAAGGGUUAUUGUGGGGUUGUCAUAAUUGGAGGUGAGUCUCAUUUAAUCAGGUGGGAUAAGCCACUUUUAUACAGAAUUGAUGCCACAAAGCUACUGCAGGAGAACAUGCUGGGCCCUUGAGUCCUAGCCUCACAGGUGGUAGGAAAGGUGGUUUCCUGCAGGCCAGGAGCAAGCAUCAACUGAUGUAGGGAACUUUGAGAAGCGAGGAAGCCAUCCAAAGUUACAGAUACAUAGGUGAGAGCUGGUGGUGACAGUUCCUUGAACUCGGUUUCCCAGCAGAUAAAAGAGGCUUUUAUAAAUCCCAGCUAAGAUUUUCUAUUCAGACAGGAGCGAAUUCCAGGGCCAUGGCAGUUGCUUAAUGCUGCACAGCACUCUAGAUUUGAAAGCUACAGGCCAGGUGCGGUGGCUCAUGCCUGCAAUCCCAACACUUUGGGAGGCCAAGGUGGGCAGAUCACUUGAAGUCAGGAGUUCAAGACCAGCCUGGCCAAAAUGGUGAAACCCCAUGUCUAUUAAAAAUACAAAAAUUGGCUGGGCAUGGUGGCGCACGCCUGUAAUUCUACCUACUCAGGUGGCUGAAGCAGGAGAAUCACUUGAACCCGGGAGGCAGAGGUUGCAGUGAGCUGAGAUCAUGCCACUACACUCCAGCCUGGGCAACAGAGUGAGACUCUACCUAAAAAAAUAAGAAAGCUAACCCAAGGAGGUCUGGAAAGUCUAGAACAUUCUCACUGCACCUGUGUAAAUAGGCCAAACUGAGACCCAUUGUCUUGUGAUCGAGAAUCAUUUUUGGAGACUGUUGUGAUCCUGGGGCAGGGAGACAAAGAUUGUUCAGUUGUUAUAGGCUUUACAUGGGCAAAAAACUCAGUGUCCCUUUGAUGGAUUCUGGGCAGUGGCUAGGGACCCUCAGGGAUUGUCGGAUUCCGUGGGGACACAUGCCUUCAAUUCUCUGGGCAGGGUUGUUCUGCAGUUCUGCAGAGACAGCAUCAGCUCGUGUGGGGCUGCUGAAGAUGCAGAAGUUUCCUGUUCCUAGCUAUGCACAUAAUUCUGGGCCAAAGCAACGCACAUGCAUCUUGUCCAGUAGAAAAUAUAAACCUCUGUACAUCCAGUUCUCAUUUAAACUGCCUGUA
rnacentral:lncRNA from 1 species